CCAUGCCAGAUCUCUGUCGGUGAGAAAAUGUGUGUGGAUGCUGACUUCUAGAAGACUCCAAAGCGCUUGUCUUCCCCACUCCCCAUUUCCAAAGGCUGAGACUCCUCUGCACUCCGAGUUUCCUCCCACGCUUCGUCUGAAGAGUGGGUUUUGGGGAGUGAAGGAUAGAAAAUAUCUGAAGACUCUUCCCUAUGACUUAAGACAUGAAUUUUCUUCUCAAGUCUUGAACUAAAGUCAGAAAGUGUUUGCAAGAAAUGUUCUUCUAGGUCCCACAUCCACGGGACCAGAUGAUGCCUGGCUCAAUGCAUUCCUAUCUGAAGUGGGGCAGAGAGGCUGGCAGCCUUCUUUACUAACCAGGCCUGGGAUGAGGUCAGGGGACACUGCUCCGUCACAAGCUUCCUGAUGGAGUAGCCAACCUUGCAGAUGGCCCUCGAUGAUCGGCAGUACCUGGUCUUCAUGUGCUUGUGUUGUUCCUCAAUAUUGUCCCUCAAAUGUUGAAUCAGGACUACAGUGGAAAUUAUAAUGUGACUUCUGAGGCCAGGUCAUAAAAGGCAUUGCUGCUUCUGCCCUGGCCUCUUGGAUUGCUUGCUCUGUGAGAAGCUAGCUGCCAUGUUGUGAGGACACUCAAGCAGCUCUGUGGAGAGGCCCAUAUGGAGAGGAACUGAAGGCUGGGCAACAGCCACACCAACUGGCCAGCCAAGGAAAUGAACUAUCUUGGAAGUGGGUCCCUAGCUCCAGCCAGAUGCAUGUAGCCCAGCUAAAAACUGAAUGCACCCUUAGAGCUCCCAAAACAGAACAUUCCAUCCAAGGUGCUCUCAAAUUCUUGAACCAGAGAAACUAGAAGAGAUAACAAUUAUUUUUCUUUUAAGUUCCUAAGUGUUGGGGUAACUUGUUAUGCAGCAAAGCAUAACUAAUAAAUAUUUAGUUCCUAGAAGCAAGAUGCUGCUGUAACAAAAAUCUAAAAAUAUGAGAGUGGUUUUGGGACCAAGAGUGGGAAAAAGUUGUAGAGACCAUGAAGAGAGUGUGAGGGAAAGCCUAAAUGGUCUUAAAGAGACUGUUUUCAGAAAUAUGAUGGCCUUCAAGGAGGCUAUUGGUAAGAUCUUGAAGAAAAUUGAGGAACAUGUUACUGGAAGCUGGAAGAAAGGGGAUUCUUACCCAUGGAACAGCAGAACAUCUAGCACAUUUUGUUAACAUGGAAAAUAGAAAAUGUACCUACUGAACUGGGUGAUCCAGCUAAAAAGAUUUCCAGGCAGAGUGGUAUAGGUGCCACCUUGAUUUUCGUUGCUACUUUGAGUAAAAAUCAGAGGAAAGAUAAGCUAAAGAAGAAAAAAACCUAUUUAUUACAAAAGAGGCAGAAACUGCAGGGUUUGAAAAUGCCCAGUCUGUCAAGGUAACAGACAAUGUGAAAAUUUUAAAAACAUUUUGAGACAAAGAUAAAAUCCAAAGUACAGCCAGAAAAACAGAGCGUAAAGAUGAAACUAAGGUGUGGCUGCAAGGUUUUCUUGUUUAGACCUCAGAACUAUGCAAGGUGUAGUCUUUCAGCCACUUCAUAGCAUCCUAAAGUAGAAAAGAGAUUUGCGGGUGUAGCUUUUGUCUAACAGAGUGAAUGUCAAUAAGAUUCAUAGGACACUUGCAAAAAUUUUAAGAGAAUUUCACUAGCAAAAACAUUGCCAGCUUUGACUGAAUAGAAAAGAAACACUACAAGAUGAACUGAAGACUUCUAUUGGCAAAUAAACUACUCAACUGCAAAAACACGUUUACUUUUAUGAAAAAGAAAAGAUAAUUCAGGGAUUAGAAGCAAGAACCCAGAAGACAGAGCCAAGAGCUGUAAAGAAUCAUUUUCAGCAGUAACAGGACUGAGUCCUGGCCAAGGAACUUGCAUAAUGUUCCUGGCUAGACUUCAAAAUUUAUCAAUAAUAGACAAUCAGUGUACCUAGUAACUACCUGAAGCACACAGAGAAAUCAAAAAGGAUUCAUUAGAGAAGGAAAACUUGCCAAGCAGAGAAGCCAAACCAGUGAUUCAUCCAUGACUCAGUCAUAAAUAAAGUGGCAAGUGGGAUGCUGACUGACUUUGGCACCUGAAUUCUAAGGUGCUACAGAAGUGUGGAUUUUUAUCAACAAACUAACACAGAGUUGAGGUUUUCAACUCCACUACUAUGAGCCCUGGGACUUCCAAAGAGAUGUCUCUCGGUCUUUCUUGGGGAGGAGUAAAGGUGAGGGUUGCUUUCUCCUUCAAUUCAGCUUGAAACAACUCUGCUUUUUGUUCAAAAAUUUAUACACACAUAUGUGUAGUCUUUGUACAUGAAAAUGUAAAGAAGAAAAUAAAAUUGGUACAGAUUAAGCCCAAGACAACUCCUACUUUCAUUAAUAUAAUUGCACGAGGUUAGCAUGGUAGGUGUUCUGAUGAAUAUGCUCCACCUCCAUUCCACCCUCCCUCUAGCAUCCCUGCUUGUAAGGCAGAGGCUAUAAAGAUGAAAAUCAUAUUUCCUGGACUCUUUUGCAGCUAGAUUUCUGGAUGUGAAUUAGAUUCUGCUAAAUGGAUGUACCUGUGUGGAAUUUGGAAGGUGAGGCAGGUGCCAUUGUCCUGCCCCUUUUGGAUGUGAGAGAUGGGGUUUACUGCAGCUGCAACCCCCUGUGCAUUUUCCAGCUUGUUCAUUGUUGAGAAGCAGGUACGGUCAUGUGCUCUCGAACUCUGUGGUUCUAUUGGCAACCUCAGAGUUUGUAGCCCCAUGCAAGGCCAGUUCU
rnacentral:lncRNA from 1 species